GUAAAGUAUAAAAGACAGGACUCCUCAUUGACCCUCACACCAUCUACACCGAACUUCUAAAAGUGAAGAUUUGACAAUAAGAUUCAUCAUGGCAGUCAUGAGAGCUCUUGUGCUUCUUUUCUUGGUCUUUUCUGUUCAGAGUGCACCAAGAGCUCAACACUGCCAUCAUGGAUGGAAACAUUUUGGUGUGCAAUGCUACAAAUUCUUCCCUCAGUCAGUUAACUGGGUCACAGCUGAG